GUGGGGAAUAUUGCACAAUGGGCGAAAGCCUGAUGCAGCAACGCCGCGUGAGGGACGACGGCCUUCGGGUUGUAAACCUCUUUUAGUAGGGAAGAAGCGAAAGUGACGGUACCUGCAGAAAAAGCACCGGCUAACUACGUGCCAGCAGCCGCGGUAAUACGUAGGGUGCAAGCGUUAUCCGGAAUUAUUGGGCGUAAAGAGCUCGUAGGCGGUCUGUCGCGUCUGCUGUGAAAACUGGAGGCUCAACCUCCAGCCUGCAGAGGGUACGGGCAGACUAGAGUGCGGUAGGGGAGAUUGGAAUUCCUGGUGUAGCGGGGGAAUGCGCAGAUAUCAGGAGGAACACCGAUGGCGAAGGCAGAUCUCUGGGCCGUAACUGACGCUGAGGAGCGAAAGCGUGGGGAGCGAACAGGAUUAGAAACCCUGGUAGUCC
rnacentral:rRNA from 1 species